GGCAACUGGCCAAGGAGGCACCCCUCUGCGCAGAAGUAAAAUUGCUUUGCUAAGAAUCCUUUGUCCGAGUGUUCAAUUUCCCUAGGAUUUUGAACGUUAUUCCUAACUGUUCUGAUGUCCAUCUUUGGAACUUGAAUAUUCUCCUUCGGAAAGGGGGCCUUCGAUCACCCCACCAAUGGGGGACACGUCCUACUGUCUAGUUACGGUGGCCCUAGGGUGAGGGAGAUCAAGGCCCACCCAUUGUAAUGAAUAAAUCUGGAUUCUCAGCAAAGCGGGUGGGAGAGGCUUGCAAGACCGCGGCAAUAAGAGGACCAGGUAAUUCUUGUGCACGGAGUAAGACUAAAGGCCUCCUAGAACAGGUGCUGCCCCUGGAGUUUCCAGAACAUCAGCAUUAACCUGGAGACCAUGUCCUUAUCAAAGGGUGGAAGGAAGGGAAGCUCAAACCAGCCUGGGAAGGACCCUAUCCAGUGCUCCUAACUACUGAGACUGCAGUCUGGACAGUGGAAAGAGGAUGGACUCAUACACCCAAGUCAAGAAGAUGCCGCCACCUCCAGAAUCAUGGACUGUCACUCCAGGGCCCACCCCCACCAAGCUAACUAUAAAAAGAGCUGAAUAAUCA